rnacentral:rRNA from 1 species
AUUGAACGCUGGCGGCAGGCCUAACACAUGCAAGUCGAACGAACUCUUCGGAGUUAGUGGCGGACGGGUGAGUAACACGUGGGAACGUGCCUUUAGGUUCGGAAUAACUCAGGGAAACUUGUGCUAAUACCGAAUGUGCCCUUCUGGGGCAAGAUUUAUCGCCUUUAGACCGGCCCGCGUCUGAUUAGCUAGUUGGUGAGGUAAGGGCUCACCAAGGCUACGAUCAGUAGCUGGUCUGAGAGGUUGACCAGCCACAUUGGGACUGAGACACGGCCCAAACUCCUACGGGAGGCAGCAGUGGGGAAUCUUGCGCAAUGGGCGAAAGCCUGACGCAGCCAUGCCGCGUGGAUGAUGAAGGUCUUAGGAUUGUAAAAUCCUUUCACCGGUGAAGAUAAUGACUGUAGCCGGAGAAGAAGCCCCGGCUAACUUCGUGCCAGCAGCCGCCGUAAAAC